rnacentral:rRNA from 1 species
GAUGAACGCCGGCGGCGCGCCUAACACAUGCAAGUCGAGCGAUCUUCUUCGGAAGAGAGCGGCGGACGGGUGAGUAACGCGUGGGUAACCUGCCCUGUACACACGGAUAACAUACCGAAAGGUAUGCUAAUACGAGAUAAUAUGCUUUUAUCGCAUGGUAGAAGUAUCAAAGCUCCGGCGGUACAGGAUGGACCCGCGUCUGAUUAGCUAGUUGGUAAGGUAAUGGCUUACCAAGGCGACGAUCAGUAGCCGACCUGAGUGGGUGAUCGGCCACAUUGGAACUGGGACACGGUCCCAACUCCUACGGGAGGCAGCAGUGGGGAAUAUUGCACAAUGGGCGAAAGCCUGAUGCAGCAACGCCGCGUGAGCGAUGAAGGCCUUCGGGUCGUAAAGCUCUGUCCUCAAGGAAGAUAAUGACGGUACUUGAGGAGGAAGCCCCGGCUAACUACGUGCCAGCAGCCGCGGUAA